AGCAGUCGCCACGGGAAUACGUAGGGUGCAAGCGUUAAUCGGAAUUACUGGGCGUAAAGCGUGCGCAGGCGGUUAUAUAAGACAGAUGUGAAAUCCCCGGGCUCAACCUGGGAACUGCAUUUGUGACUGUAUAGCUAGAGUACGGCAGAGGGGGAUGGAAUUCCGCGUGUAGCAGUGAAAUGCGUAGAUAUGCGGAGGAACACCGAUGGCGAAGGCAAUCCCCUGGGCCUGUACUGACGCUCAUGCACGAAAGCGUGGGGAGCAAACAGGAUUAGAUACCCCCAUAGUCCCUGUCUCUUAUAC
rnacentral:rRNA from 1 species